rnacentral:rRNA from 1 species
UACGGAGGGUGCAAGCGUUAUCCGGAUUCACUGGGUUUAAAGGGUGCGUAGGUGGGUUUGUAAGUCAGUGGUGAAAUCUCCGAGCUUAACUUGGAAACUGCCGUUGAUACUAUAAAUCUUGAAUGUUGUGGAGGUGAGCGGAAUAUGUCAUGUAGCGGUGAAAUGCUUAGAUAUGACAUAGAACACCAAUUGCGAAGGCAGCUCACUACACAAAGAUUGACACUGAGGCACGAAAGCGUGGGGAUCAAACAGG